rnacentral:lncRNA from 1 species
GACACAACAGGGAACGAAAAUGGACAUAUUCAGCUCAAGCUCGUGCCAGAUGGUUCCUCGCUCUUACCUUGGCCCGCAACCCACAACUAGCGUCGAACCGUAAACUUGGUGGUUUUAAAGCAGGAAAAGCACCUCAACCUGAUCAAGGUGGUUGUGUCGAACAUGGCGACGUCAAAAUUGAAGUUGGUCGGUAUGGAUUAAUGCAAGAUAAGUGAAUGAUAUACAGUAGUGCAGUAAAAACCCACAUAAAAGAACCACCAGUUUUAUAUCAGGUUGAAGUUCUUAUAUAAUAGUAGCCUGCGCGCAUUCUCAUGACAUCGAUCAAACGAUGUAAGAGGCUGCGCAACAAUGAAGCAAAGCUUGCCCCAAACUUUUCUAGGUUUUCCGGGAAAAAAAUUUUUGCGAGAAAAUUAAUACGUUGAUUAUGCGGAAACGUUCAUAUGCAUGUCAAUGUCAACAUGGCGCUUCACAGUCAGGAAUGUGGGUUCGACCUCAGUGGGUUCGACGAAGGUUCGACCCUCGACUCACGUAGGUUUUUAGAAACAAUUAACAUGGCUUGCUUUUUGCUACAAGUGAAUUUUGGCGGGAUGUAUACAUGCGACGGAUCAUGUAGAAAUAUUUGUUUGUCAGUGCGGCAUAUCGGGACAACAAAAUACUCUAAUUUGUGACUCCGUUUCGCGUAAUUGCCAACGACAAUAGGAUCUGUUGCUAAAAGCAACUUGCUUUUGAUAGUAAUGGACCUUUCCCCUUAUAACUAAAAUUUCGAUCUAGACAAAAAUUUCAUUACAGCUUGAAAGAGCAUCACAAAAUUAGUAAUAUUCCAAAGUUUUGUUGCAAAAUCGUGUAAAAUGCGGAUAAUAUAGCCUUGCGAAGUUUGCCGUUUUUCAGUCAUUUUGUAUUACAAACGGGAAAUUGACAUCCGAUUCGGGUGUUGGGGCUGCAAUUUCCCGUUUGUAAUGCAAAAUGACUGAAAAUUGCAAAUUUCGCAAGGCUCUAUUUUCCUCAUUUUACAACAUUUCGCAACGAAACUUUGGAAUAUUACUAAUUUUGUGAUGCUCUUUCAAGCUGUGAUGAAAUAUUUGUCUAGACUUGCCUAGAUCAAAAUUUUGGUUAUAAGGGGAAAGGUCCAUUCCCAACAUUCAGACUGGUUGUUCUUAGAAGACCCACUGGUUCUUAAUCCACGGGUUUUUACUGUAUGCUGGGUCUGUUUACUUCUCUUUACUUUUUAUGUAUUUUAUAUUUGAAUAUCGGAAUGGAAAGUCCACUUGAAGACAAAUGGCUAAAUUCUUAUCCUAUUUAAAGGCUAAGGAAAUCUUGACAUUCUGAACAUGUUGAUAUUUUGGUAAACGUGAUACCUUUUCUAUAUUAUAGCAUAAAAUGUGCAACUAGUUUAUCCACUUUUAAUUUCAAGUACGGUGACUCAAUAGAGGUAGCUUAAAUACCUAUAUUUGUUAACAAGCUGGGAGAUCUGUUGCCACCGAAUGGCCCGGCAAAUGAGAUACCUUGCCGAAAAUACCUUAAGUUGUUUCGUUCUUGGGAUAUUUAACAUUUAUACGCAAAUUAUCCUCAAUAUGACGUCAUAUUGUAUGACUUUCUGAAAAAAAUUCAAGAUCUUGCGAUAUCGAUAUUGUGCAUCGAAAUCAUAAUAUACCGUGUGUCAUGUCAACAAAUAUAUGUUACAUGUUGACAAAUUUGAAUCAAUGAUUUAUAAGGGGGUGCCCUCCCCCCCCCCCACCCCUAUAUAAGAGUUCUAAAGGUUUUUUUAGGUAGCCAUUUUGCAAUUUGAGCGCACAGUGAGGAGAAUUUGUAUAUCAAACAUUGUUACUUACAGUCAAAACGAGUGUUCUCUUGCAGAAUACAUUGCAAUAUUGCUCUGCAACAUUGCAAUGUUGAUUGUCAAUCUGGCUUGAUCAAUUUGGAAACGUGUGUAGUGAAGGUUCCUCAGCAUAUUCCCUAAAGGCUUCACUUUUUUCCAAAAGGCUUCACUUUUUUCCAAUGCAAAUUCAUAUUUUAAUACAAUACUGCUGUGUGAGUGGGAAGCAUUUUCUCUCAGGCAGUUUCAAUACGAAAAUGUUGAAUUUCUGAUGUAACCGGACGUCAAUCUUCCUGAAACAGUUGCAAGUUAUUGCGUGGGCUCUGCAAUGUAGCGCGCAAGAGAACACCCGAUUCGACACCCGAUUCGACACCCGACUGUAAAUUUCUCGAGAAAGAAUCAAGCUAAGGGCCUGUUCAUAUGAUCCCGCUUACCGGGACGUCUCGCUUACCGAUGAUCUCGCCGCCUAUCUAUUUUCCUAUAAAAUUUUGCAUUGUGUUCAUAUGGGAAAGCGAGCUGGCCCGCUUGCCGAGAUCUCGUUUGAAUUUGCCGAGAUCAUAGGUAGGCGGGAUGAAAAUUUUUCCAUAUGAACACGCCAGCCCGCUUACCGGGAUGAAGUGAAACAAGUCUUGCCAGUUUAAU